rnacentral:lncRNA from 1 species
CUCAGAUGUUCAUAUUGGCCUUGCACAAUUUCAGCUCAGAACAGAGGGAAGGAGAUCACCAAGGUAACAUUGGCUGUCUACACCGAGAGAUGAAAUAAU